AUGCCCCUGGGGUGGGUGGGUGUUUGGGGAGCUGUGAGUGUGUCCCUCUUGAGGGGCUUGGGCAUUUCUUCUAACCACCCAUAUCCCUGGGACAGCAAGGGGCAUUUUGCAGCGUGUCCCACCAGCAAGAGGGAACAGCUGCUGACCCCAGCUCUACUGCAACACCCAAACAUGGCCACGGAGACAGAUUGGAACUGCCCUAUCUGCCAUGACAUUCCAGGUGAAAUCGCUUCUGUAACACCCUGCAUUCACCUGUUCUGCCUGGGCUGCAUUGUGCGGUGGGCCAAGACAAAACCAUUGUGCCCCCUGUGCAGGCAGGCUAUCAACAGCAUCAUUUACUCUGUUCGGUCAGAGGAAGACUUUCUGGAGAUAGUUCUUCCAAGUUCCUCAGACUCAUCAGCUGCUGGCCAUCAGGAUGAGCAAGGGGCUGUGGAGCCAGUGCCCAUAACUUACGUAGCUGGCUUCCCAACUGAGGUCUGGGCAGGUUUUUUCCAGGACUGCUCAGAAAUCCUCGAGCCCGUGCUACCCUGGCUGAACGCGGAGCUAUCAGAGCUGCUCCAGACCCGCUGGUGGGACGUGGCUCUGGCACAGAGUGCCACCGUAGCCAAUUUGUGCCGCUACGGGCUGAGUGAGCAGGACUUGGUCCGGGAGCUGCAGCCCAUGCUGCAGGAGCGGACGGAAACAUUUGUGCGCCAGCUCAUCGACAUCGCCGCUGACAGGUGCAGUGAUGAGAUCCUGCGCCAGAUGAGCCUCCUGAACUCCCAUGCUGAAGAGGAAGAGGAGGAAGAGGAGGAGGAGGAGGAGGAGGAGGAGGAGCAGGAGGUGCAGGAGGAGCAGGAGGAGCAGGAGGAGCAGGAGGAACAGGAGGAACAGGAGGAGCAGGAGGAGCAGGAGGAACAGGAGGAACAGGAGGAGCAGGAGGAGGAAGAGCAGGAGGGCUCCGCGGCCAUUCCUGGGCCCUGUGCCUCCCGCCAGGGGACUCCCUCCCCCAUCCUGGCCUCCUGCAGCCCCGUAGUGUCCGACGUGGAAGCGGACGUAGGAACGGUGGAAGCCCCGGCUGGAAGCUCUCCAUCCGUGCCCGUCCCUGUCGAACGCGAGCAGCGCCAGGAAGAGCCGGGCGGGCCAGCAGCAGUCGCAGGCCCCUCUGCCCAGGGCUGCGGCCGCAGCCCUUCCUCUCCUGGCCGGGACUCGCCCGAGGUGCCCCGGCGCCCCGCAAAGAGAAGGGCCUCUGGCCCUGAAGAUUCCCCCCAGCCCCCGAAGAGGCCGACCCGCCGGCAACGGCGCAAGCCAAGAACCCCCUAA
rnacentral:lncRNA from 1 species